AAAGGUAAAAGAGCAGACCUUGUACAUGUCCUGCUGUGAUUUUUGAAUCACAAUGGCCUUGCCACAACCAACAUAACAAACUAAUCCUGCCUUGCCAACCACAUCAGUUUUGUCCACCUCAGUUUCUCAUUAACAAACCUUGCCUUUGCCUUACCACCACAAAGCAACCUAGCAGCAAACUGGACUCCUCUUUUUCUGUCAAGACCAAGCAUUAAUUGUAGCCACAUGUGACAGCAGAAAAAAUUGGUUAACACACUGCACUGCAUUCAGGCUGCCUUUGGCAUUUCAAAAUUUGCUGUCAAGUCCAAAGGAGCCAAACCC
rnacentral:lncRNA from 1 species